UGGGGAAUUUUGGACAAUGGGCGAAAGCCUGAUCCAGCAAUGCCGCGUGUGUGAAGAAGGCCUUCGGGUUGUAAAGCACUUUUGUCCGGAAAGAAAUCCCUGGUCCUAAUAUGGCCGGGGGAUGACGGUACCGGAAGAAUAAGCACCGGCUAACUACGUGCCAGCAGCCGCGGUAAUACGUAGGGUGCAAGCGUUAAUCGGAAUUACUGGGCGUAAAGCGUGCGCAGGCGGUGAUGUAAGACCGAUGUGAAAUCCCCGGGCUCAACCUGGGAACUGCAUUGGUGACUGCAUCGCUUGAGUAUGGCAGAGGGGGGUAGAAUUCCACGUGUAGCAGUGAAAUGCGUAGAGAUGUGGAGGAAUACCGAUGGCGAAGGCAGCCCCCUGGGUCAAUACUGACGCU
rnacentral:rRNA from 1 species